rnacentral:rRNA from 1 species
CAGCAUGACUGUAGCAAUACAGUUGAUGGCGACCGGCAAACGGGUGCGGAACACGUACACAACCUUCCUUUAAGUGGGGAAUAGCCCGGGGAAACCCGGAUUAAUACCCCGUAACAUAUUGACUCGGCAUCGGGUUAAUAUUAUAGCUCCGGCGCUUAAUGAUGGGUGUGCGCCUGAUUAGGUAGUUGGCGGGGUAACGGCCCACCAAGCCUUCGAUCAGUAACUGGUGUGAGAGCACGACCAGUCACACGGGCACUGAGACACGGGCCCGACUCCUACGGGAGGCAGCAGUAAGGAAUAUUGGUCAAUGGACGCAAGUCUGAACCAGCCAUGCCGCGUGGAGGAUGAAGGUCCUCUGGAUUGUAAACUUCUUUUAUCUGGGACGAAAAAGGGUCUUUCUAGACCACCUGACGGUACCAGAUGAAUAAGCACCGGCUAACUCCGUGCCAGCAGCCGCGGUAAUACGGAGGGUGCAAGCGUUAUCCGGAUUCACUGGGUUUAAAGGGUGCGUAGGUGGGUCUGUAAGUCAGUGGUGAAAUCCCCGAGCUUAACUUGGGAACUGCCAUUGAUACUAUAGAUCUUGAAUACUGUGGAGGUCAGCGGAAUAUGUCAUGUAGCGGUGAAAUGCUUAGAUAUGACAUAGAACACCAAUUGCGAAGGCAGCUGGCUACACAAAUAUUGACACUGAGGCACGAAAGCGUGGGGAUCAAACAGGAUUAGAUACCCUGGUAGUCCACGCCCUAAACUAUGGAUACUCGACAUUUGCGAUACACUGCAAGUGUCUGAGCGAAAGCAUUAAGUAU